CUUUGUUUACUUAGCAUUUGACAACUCGGAUUUUGAAAAAUGGUUGAAGAAUAAGUCAUUGUUGGAUCUUUUCUUAAUAAAAACAUUCGAUGAUUACUGUGCACUGUACCACAUCGGAUUUUGGGCAGGAAUACAACUCGGGUACAGUCUAAUAAGGACCGGAUUUUGGCAUAUUGCAUAUUGCCAAGGGAGAUGUUUACCGAGGAUUCCAUGCCAUUAAUGUGCAGGCUGUUGCUGACGCCAGCAUGAGCAAUAUCUGAGCACCAAUGAUGAGGGUCAUCUGCUGGGAGAUAGUGGGUAUCCGUUAAGGACUAACCUGAUGACCCCUUAACCUCAUCCCUCCCAUGCUGCGGAACAGGCCUACAAUGACCAUCUAUGUAGAGGAUAUCUGCAUGCCACUGGUGGAUGUUGGCCUUUCAAGUCCAAUAAGUGCUGUGAAAUAUCAACUGUGUACAUGCCCCUGCAUAACCUGUGUCUGUAUUCAAACGUUCCACUGAUAGAGGAAUUGGUUGGAAACAUGAUGGAACCGGAAGUUAUAAACAACACACCAGUACAUCGAGCAGCAUGUGAUAAGAGGCAGCAGCUGAUCAAACUAUUUCAUAAAAAAUGUUAAAAAAUUAUAGUUAUAAAUGUUAUAAAGUGAAA